AGAAAGCAUAGCUGUGCAUAGAACGUAAGAGCAGAAAUUGGUGUCAAGAGGAAAUCACACAGCCUGGGCCCCACGCUGUAGAAUGAUGUCAUUCAUAACCAGGGUGGUUUUCUCAUCUCCCCUCUAGAAACACUCCCCUCUACAUGCCCUGGGGCGUGUCUCCUAGGAGAUCGAAGUUGGCAGUGAAGAUUAGCCAUCGUGACAAUCAUGACUUUUCUUCUUCAGGUUUUCAAGUUUGGAAGCCUCCUCACUGACUCUCUGCCUAACUCACGUAAAGAUGACUUACAAAAUGGAGGAGCUUCUAGUCGCUGGUGCAGAGACCCCACCCAUGCAGGAGAACAUGGCGCACCCCAGAUACUACCUUCAAUACCGGACCGUCUCUGCGUCUGCUCAGAGUGGUGGACUACUGCUGAUGGUGACAGGAAUCAGCUGUCAGGGGAGGUCUAGUCCUGAAACACUCCCACUAAAGAGGAAAAUGUCACUUCGACUCCACUACAAAGUUUUUAGUCUUUGAACUCCGCAAACACUUCUACUGGAAGAAGAAAGGUGACCCAGGUUAGUCAACAGAUGGGCAGAUCCCAGCACAAACACAACAGUAACAAACAAAACAAAACAAUAUGUCUUCUCCAAACAUCAUCGUUCCAGUGGCAAGUCCAGUGAGAUCCCUGAUGUGAAACUUUAGACUGUCUGGUUCCCUAAUUGGUUCUUGAUUUGGUCAAUAAAGGCGGGAGCCAUUGCUGGGCAAAGAGUAAAGGUGGGACUUCUGGGUCCCAGGAGGAAAAAAGAGAUGUGAGGAAAGAGCAGAGUUUUUUGGCCCCACUUUGGAAGGAGAAGCACAAUACUACCAUGUAAGAUCUUGUAAGCUAGGAC
ensembl:lncRNA